AUGGCGCCUUCACCGAGCUGGAGUGCAGCUGUGUUGGCCGUGCUGCUGGUGGUCGUCCUGCUAUUGGGGAUGGGAUGCCCGGCGGCCGCUGCGACGCCAUGUACGGACUGCACAGCGCAGUGCAACUCAACAUGCAGCGCCGCCGGGGCAAGGCCGUGCGGCGCCCACUGCAGCCCGGCGCCGGGAUGCCCGAGCUGCCUCGCCGCGUACCACGCCAAGUGCUUGCCGUAUUGCGUGAGCGCGUGCAAAGCCCAAUCACCUGCUGGGUACGACUGCCAAAGCGCGUGCAACAAGACACAGCUGUGCAGCAGCUCGUGCAGCGCCGUCUGCGGCGAGUCGCCGACGUGCAAGGCCUGCCAGGACAACUACUACCGUGGGUGCAUAUCCAGAUGCACCUCCUACUGCAACUCCCACUGCGUCUAG
rnacentral:rRNA from 1 species